AACAUUGCCUGGUUCGGGUCAUACAAGCAUGCCUUUGCCCCAGUUUUGACGAUGUACAGACGAAAAAAGACCAGAGGAUAUCAAAUCUCACCACAAGGUGGGAGCAUGCGUCCAGUCAAUCGAGAGAUCCUCUGUGCUGCGCACUGAGAGCACUCGGAGAGAAAUCGUCAACGUGAGGCGCCUCUGGCUUUCCAUCCUUCCAUAUCUGUCUAAUUAACUCACAUGCUAAGAAGACCAGCCAUCAAGCCAGACAAGGAAGCUGGGACUUCAAAUUUCCCCUACCUAGCCUCAACUAUUCUCCCUUUAUGAUGGGCACAUUAAUAUUCUUCCAAAAUAUCAGCAUCAUUUUGCAACUGGCUACAAAAUACUUUAAAAGGAAAGAUUCCACAUGUUCCAGAAAUAAAGUGCUUGAAAUACUUUUGACGAUGAGGAUAAAACCCGUGUUUUAAGAGGAAGUUAGCUAAGGCUGGAGAGUUGGAACCCUCUGGCUUACUGAUAUUUAUUGAUCAAUUACUGUAUGCCCAAACAUGUUGUGUAAUAGUUGAUCAGUAACUACUAAGUAUAAACAAACUUUGACACUCCUUACCACAAAUGGGCUUUAAUAAUAACAAACUAGUGAAGUUGGUUGGGCACAGUGGUUCACGCCUAUAAUCCCAGCACUCUGGGAGGCCGAGGAGGGUGGGUCACAAGGUGAGGAGUUCAAGACCAGCCUGGCCAGGUCUUUUGUAUUUUUUGUAAAAUACAAAAAAUUAGCCAGGCAUGGUGGUGGGCGCCUGUAAUCCCAGCUACUCGGGAGGCUGAGACAGAGAAUUGCCUGAACCCAGGAGGCAGAGGUUGCAGUGAGCCGAGAUCAUGCCACUGCGCUCCAGCCUGGGCAACAGAGCAAGACUCCAUCUCAAAAUAAAAAUAAAAGUAAAUUGGUAAAGUCCUUUUUUUAUAUAGAUUUUUCCCAUGUGUCUGGGAAGACAAAAUGAACAUUUGAAACAUGAAGCAGUAAAGUGCUCAAAUUUGGUAGUUUGAACAAUUAAAAGUUAGGGUAACUGUAGUAUGCUGUUGAAGUAUGCUGAAUGAAGUAUGCUGUUGAAGUAUGCUGAAUAAAGAAGAGAGCAAGCAACUUGGAGAAAGAAAAUCAGAGUCUUCUGCUUGGGGUCUUAGUCACUUUACCUCUGAGUACCUGAUUUGGGGGUGAAGCCCCCAGAACCACAUAUGCUUCAUUUUCAUAGUAUUUAACACUAUCUGCUCCAUGCAAGUUCAUUGAACAAAUGAAUCCAUUUGUAGAGAGGGAAUGAUAAUAAUAUUAACCUCUGUGGCUAGGAGGUUUAAAUGAAAUAAUGAAGCCAAACAGGUUUUGUAACUCAUAAAAUGCUACAAUAUAUUGUAUAUUAUGAUUAAAUGCUAAUCAUACAGCCCAACAAUAGGAGAGCCUGAGGCAGGCACGGAGGAGUCAUUGUCCACCAGAGACCUGUGGGAAGGCUUCUUAGAGACGGGAGAGGGGCAAAGCUCUGGAGCAUACCUCUCCACCUUUCUCCAUCACGAGCAGCCAAUCGGCAUUUAGCAUACCCCACCAGGCAGCAGGAACCCCCUUGCCAGUCUUCAUGGAGAACAUGGGUUCUCAUCUGGGAACAAGUCCAUGCUCCAAAGGCCAGAAAUGCUUCCCUCUUGGCCAGAUUCUUUCCAAAUGGCAGAGAGUGACUUUUCAGCAAAUUGGAUCUAAUAAUAUUCCUGCCAGGAACCCUCCUACCCCCACCUCACACAUUAACAUCCUAGGAAGAAAGGCUCUGGAGCCAUUCAGAAUCUUAUUAUUGCCACUAUAAUUAUUAUAGUUAUGACUAUGACAAUCAUUAUAAGGAAAAUCAUCCAAAUGUAGUAAGGCAAAAAAAAAAAAAAAAAAAAAAAAGAAGGUGACUUCAUGGCUAUGAACAGAGUUAAAAGGCCAGCAGAUAAAGAGAAAUGUCAAUCUCUCUUCUGCCAGGCCACCUCCAAGUGUGUGGGGAAGCUGGGUGUGUAUUGCAGGGGUGCAGGGGAACUGCCCUAUGGGAGGAAGAAGUCCUUUCCUUCUCCUUCCUGUCCAAUACUUGUCUGUUCUCCUUUCCAAAUGUCUCUAGCAGCCCUCAUUUCCUCUCCAUCCCUUCUUUGACUGCCUGAACUCAGGCCCUCAUCACCUCUUGCCUGUAUUAUUGCAAGACCCCCCUCACCCACCUUCCAGCCUCUGGGUUCACCCAGUCUCUCUAGUGUUGCCCCAAAGGGAUCUUUUUAAAAUAGAUGGCAUCAUGACACUCCUCUGUAAAACCCAGGCGAAGCUUCCCAUGGAAAAUAUGAGAAUAUAUGUGGAAGUCUUCUGCAUGGCUUGAAAGGCUUCAGAAUGGUGCUAUUAUCUGCAUGUUUGUGUCCCUCAGAAAUUCACAAGGUGAAGGUGUUAGGAUGUGGGGCCUUUGGGAGAUGAUUAGAUCAUAAGGGUGGAGCCUAUGGGAAUGAAAUUAAUGUCCUCAUAAAAGAGGCUGCAGAGAGGCCCCUCACCCCUUCUGCCAUGUGAGGACCCUGCAAUAAGGUGCUUUCUAUAAGUCAGAACACGGGCCCUCACCAGAUAUCCAAUCUGCCUUGAUCUUGGACUUCCCAGCCCCCAGAACUAUAAGAAAUACAUUUCCGUUGUUUAUAAACCACCCAAUCUAUGGUGUUUUGUUAUAGCAGCGUUAUGUAGCAGCCUAAACAUGCUAAGACAACUGGCCACUGCCUUAUCCUAUGGAGCCCACAGGCAGAAAGACAGAUUCUUGGCUCCUGCACAUACAUCACCCAUUCACAUGCUUUAUGUCCUCUUUUCUCGUAGUCAGUCAAGUUGUUCUCAUAGCCUGGAAGUACCUGUUCAUCCUACCGCCUACCUUUUGAAGUCUUUCAAACCUUGGCUCAGACCACCUGUUCCAAAUAUUUCUCAAUGUUGGAAUUAUCUUCUCCUCAGCCUCUCCUAAGUAUAUUAUUUGCAUUUAAGAUACCCACCCUCAGAUUUGGGCUACUAAGUUCACAUCUCUAGCUCCCUGAGCCUGCAACCCCUGGGUGUCACCUCCUCCUCCAAUAUUUAGCAUUAGUUAAUAGUUGGAGCUGAACAAAUGCCUGGUGAGUUGAAAGUAUGUUUUAUCGCUUUACCUUGGUAUGUUCUUGCAAUGAUUCUGUGGGGCGAGCACAUCACUGUGAUGACCAUGGUGCUGCACAUGAACAAACAGAAGCCAAGCAACUUGGCCUGGGCCAGACACCCAGGUGAUGGAUCCAUGUGUACAGCCUAGCUCACUACAAAGGAAGCAAGGGUGGACCCACUCAGAGUGGGACACUGCACUGGGGAAGUGCCUGGGGUGACUCCAUGGGUCACAGUAUAUAACACAGUGAUUAAGAAUCCAGGCUCUGUAUCUGAAUCUCAGUUUCAUCCUUUCUGUCUGUGCAAUCCUGGGUAAGUUUCUUCAUCUCUUAAUUUCAGUUUGUUUGUUUAUAAAAUGAGGGUAAUGAUAGCACCCUCACAGGACUGCCAGGAGUAAAUUAGAUAGCAUCAAAUACUAGCAUUGAAGCAGGCAUAUACCGAUACGUAGAGUUUUGUUGUGAUUAAAUUAGCACUAAGAGUAUCGACAAACGACAGAGUCAUAUUUCUCUUUUGUGCCUGGGAAUAGUGAAGAGGAGUCCAAAGUACCAUCCCAGGAAUGAGGAGGAGAAGGAGAGGUUGGAACAACAUCCCCUGGUUGCCUGAGCACAUUCCCAAGAUACCAGGCCACCCAUCAGCAUUUCCCAAGCAACAAGUCACUGUCAUUUCCUCCCCCAUGCCCUGGGAAAGUGCACAAAUUGAGUUCAUUCCACAAGCCACUGUCUCCUCUUCUCAGGCCCAGUCAUGACCCUCCCAAGCUAUUUGAUACACAAAGGUCCAGGUAUCAGCCAUGUUGGAUGUGGUUCUGCAGGCAUCUUUAGGUACACAAAAGAUGAAAGCAGCACGCUUGCAACGAAGUUAGUCAGUGCAUGGAAGAGAUGCCUUCUUGCUUCUUUGAAUCCAGGUUAAUGAAAGGUGAAUCCAGUUAUCCAAGUGGAAGGAAGACAGCGAGAAAAGAUAAAGAGAAGUUUCAAUAGUGAUGAGGAACCAGGCAAGACCUGCUUCCUAAGUUGCAGCAGAGGCUGAAUAGUUCAGACCCUGGAGUCAGUCUGCCUGUGUUCAAAUUUCUGUCCCAUCACUUCCUAACUGCAUGGCUUUGGGCAAAUUAUAUUGGCAUUUUCUAUUUCCUUACCUGCAAACUCAGAGUGCUGCUAACAUCUAUAUCAUAGAAUCAUUGUAGGGAUUAAAUGGGAUAAUUCAUGUAAAGUUCGUAGCACAACACUGGACACAAUAAAUGCUCACUCGGUUAAGAGGGUUAGUAGUGGUGGUGGUGAUGGUGGUGAUGGUGGUGGUGGUGGUGGUGGUGAUGGUAGUUUGAUCCUGAUCUAAACUGGGUGAAUAAUUUUAUUCCCAUUUCACAGGUUCAAUAAACUCAGGUUCAAGCAGUCAACGGUCUUGCUCAAGGUCACACAGUACAUGGCAGGUCCAACUCAAGUUCCACUCUGUUUCUGCCUGGGAGCUCAGUGAGUGAUCCAAAUGCCCUAAGGAGGAGGAGCUGAGACCAGAAUGGACAUUCUUUUCUGAAAAUCAGAGGACAAGAAAGAUCCAAACCAAAGACCAAACUGAGCUAGGUAAAACAUGAAAACAUUCCAAAUCAUUACUUAGAACUAGUUAAGAGCAUGCCUACUGAGAAAGUCACUCUCUUCUACUUCCCUGAAAUUGCCAA
rnacentral:lncRNA from 1 species